rnacentral:rRNA from 1 species
AACGAACGCUGGCGGCAGGCUUAACACAUGCAAGUCGAACGCCCCGCAAGGGGAGUGGCAGACGGGUGAGUAACGCGUGGGAACGUACCUUUCGCUUCGGAACAGUCCCGGGAAACUGGGUUUAAUGCCGGAUACGCCGUAUUGGGAAAGAUUUAUCGGCGAAAGAUCGGCCCGCGUUAGAUUAGCUAGUUGGCGGUGUAAUGGACCACCAAGGCGACGAUCUAUAGCUGGUCUGAGAGGAUGAUCAGCCACACUGGGACUGAGACACGGCCCAGACUCCUACGGAAGGCAGCAGUGGGGAAUCUUGGACAAUGGGCGUAAGCCUGAUCCAGCCAUGCCGCGUGAGUGAAGAAGGCCUUAGGGUUGUAAAACUCUUUCGCCGGAGAAGAUAAUGACGGUAUCCGGAGAAGAAGCCCCGGCUAACUUCGUGCCAGCCGCCGCCGUAA